GAUGAAGAACGUAGCGAAAUGCGAUAACUAAUGUGAAUUGCAGAAUUCAGUGAAUCAUCGAGUCUUUGAACGCACAUUGCGCCCCCUGGUAUUCCGGGGGGCAUGCCUGUCCGAGCGUCAUUGCUGCCCUCAAGCACGGCUUGUGUGUUGGGCUCCGUCCCCCCGGGGACGGGCCCGAAAGGCAGCGGCGGCACCGAGUCCGGUCCUCGAGCGUAUGGGGCUUUGUCACCCGCUCUGUAGGCCCGGCCGGCGCCAGCCGACAACCCAUCAUCCUUUUCAGGUUGACCUCGCAUCAGGUAGGGAUACCCGCUGAACUUAAGCAUAUCAAUAAGCGGAGGA
rnacentral:misc_RNA from 1 species